rnacentral:misc_RNA from 1 species
GGGGAGGGGGUUUGGGGGUUGUGGAGGGAAAGAGGGGAGAGGGGCAACUCUCGCCUUCGUCUCCCCCUUUCCUCUGCCCCUGAUCUAUCCUAUCCAUUUACUAGUAUCAAAGGAAGAUAUUAGGAAAUUAUGCACAUAAGAUGAGUAACAAGGUAUGAUAAAACCAUAGAACAGAAUUAUGUAGAAACUACCAACAAUACCUAUAAAUCAAUCCACUAAGAGACAGAAAACAACAAUAAGAUGCAAGAAGUUCUACAAAAAAACCUGGAGUUUCCUUGAGAGUGCAUUAAUAAGAGGGGGAAAAUAUUUGAAGGAAAUAAUGAAUUCAUGCUAACAAACAUUGAAGUUGAGAACAUGCAGCAUCUCUUACCUGUGAGCAAUAGGUGGAGACAG